rnacentral:tRNA from 1 species
GUUUUUAUAGUUGAAUUACAACGGUGGUUUUUCGUGCCAUAGGUUUUGGUUAAAGCCAAAUAAAAAUG